rnacentral:lncRNA from 1 species
UUGAAUCCAAAGUGGAUUAUCCUGUGAUUGAAUCUCUUUAACACCAAGGUUUGAGAUGGGGAGUUGAUCAUUUGACUCAGACUCUUUAGUGUAUUGAAUCCAAAGUGGAUUAUCAUGUGAUUGAAUCUCCUUAACACCAAGGUUUGAGAUGGGGAGCUGAUCAUUUGACUGAGACUCUUUAGUGUAUUGAAUCCAAAGUGGAUUAUCCUGUGAUUGAAUCUCCUUAACACCAAGGUUUGAGAUGGGGAGUUGAUCUUUUGAUUGAGACUCUUUAGUGUAUUGAAUCCAAAGUGGAUUAUCCUAUGAUUGAAUCUCCUUAACACCAAGGUUUGAGAUGGGGUGCCGAUCAUUUGACUGAGACUCUUUAGUGUAUUGAAUCCAAAGUGGAUUGUCCUGUGAUUGAAUCUCCUUAACACCAAGGUUUGAGAUGGGGAGCUGAUGAUUUGACUGAGACUCUUUAGUGUAUUGAAUCCAAAGUGGAUUAUCUUGUGAUUGAAUCUCCUUAACACCAAGGUUUGAGAUGGGGAGCUGAUCAUUUGACUGAGACUCUUUGGUGUAUUGAAUCCAAAGUGGAUUAUCUUGUGAUUGAAUCUCUUUAACACCAAGGUUUGAGAUGGAGAGUUGAUCUUUUGACUGAGACUUUUUAGUGUAUUGAAUCCAAAGUGGAUUAUCCUGUGAUUGAAUCUCCUUAGCACCAAGGUUUGAGAUGGGGAGUUGAUCAUUUGACUGAGACUCUUUAGUGUAUUGAAUCCAAAGUGGAUUAUCAUGUGAUUGAAUCUCCUUAACACCAAGGUUUGAGAUGAGGAGUUGAUCUUUUGACUGAGACUCUUUAGUGUAUUGAAUCCAAAGUGGAUUAUCCUGUGAUUGAAUCUCUUUAACACCAAGGUUUGAGAUGGGGAGUUGAUCAUUUGAUUGGGCCUCUUUAGUGUAUUGAAUCCAAA